rnacentral:rRNA from 1 species
AGAGUUUGAUCCUGGCUCAGGAUAAACGCUGGCGGCGUGCCUAACACAUGCAAGUCGAACGCUCUUUUGCUCGCAAGAGCCAGAGGGAGUGGCGGACGGGUGAGUAACACAUGGGUGACCUACCCCACAGUGAGGAAUACCGGCGAGAAAUCGCCGACAAGACCGCAUAGGCUCGGUCCGGUGAAGCGGACAGAGCAAAGUCUCGCAAGAGACGCUGAGGGAUGGGCCUGUGGCCGAUUAGCUAGUUGGUAAGGUAAGGGCUUACCAAGGCGACGAUCGGUAGCUGGUCUGAGAGGACGAACAGCCACACUGGGAUUGAGAACGGCCCAGACUCCUACGGGGGGCAGCAGUGAGGAAUUUUCCGCAAUGGACGCAAGUCUGACGGAGCAACGCCGCGUGCAGGAGGACGCUUUUCGGAGUGUAAACUGCUUUUCUGUGGGACGAGCGAGGACGGUACCACAGGAAGAAGCCCCGGCUAACUACGUGCCAGCAGCCGCGGUAAUACGUAGGGGGCCAGCGUUGCUCGGAAUUACUGGGCGUAAAGGGUUCGUAGGUGGUGCGGUAAGUUGGGAGUGAAAUCUCUGGGCUUAACCCAGAGGCUGCUUUCAAAACUGCCGUGCUCGAGUGCGAGAGAGGUCAGUGGAAUUGCAGGUGUAGCGGUGAAAUGCGUAGAUAUCUGCAGGAACACCCGUGGCGAAGGCGGCUGACUGGAUCGCAACUGACACUGAGGAACGAAAGCUAGGGGAGCAAACAGGAUUAGAUACCCUGGUAGUCCUAGCCCUAAACCAUCAGAACUUGGGGUGACCCGCGUAGGCGGGUCGUCCCGUAGCUAACGCGUUAAGUUCUGCGCCUGGGGAGUACGGUCGCAAGACUGAAACUCAAAGGAAUUGACGGGGGCCCGCACAAGCGGUGGAACAUGUGGUUCAAUUCGACGCAACGCGAAGACCUUACCUGGGCUUGAACCGCUACUGACCAACGGUAGAAAUAUCGUCUU